rnacentral:rRNA from 1 species
GACGAACGCUGGCGGCGUGCUUAACACAUGCAAGUCGAACGGAAAGGCCCUGCUUGUGUGGGGUGCUCGAUUGGCGAACGGGGGAGUAACACGUGAGUAACCUGCCCUUGACUUUGGGAUAACUUCAGGAAACGGGGGCUAAUACCGGAUAGGAUCUCCUGCUGCAUGGUGGGCGUGGGAAAGUCUCGGCGGUCGGGGAUGGACGCGCGGCUUACGAGCUUGUUGGUGGGGUAGUGGCUUACCAAGGCAUGGACGGGUAGCCGGCCUGAGAGGGUGACCGGCCACAUUGGUCCUGCGGUACGCAGCAGUCUCCUACGGGAGGCAGAGGUCGCGAGUAUUGCACAGUGAGCCGGAGCGUGAUGCAACGACGCCCCGUGCGUGAUGCCCGCCUUCGGGUUGAGAACAGCUUUCGCCUGAGACGAAGCGUGAGUGACGGUAAUGAAUAAAGAAGCACCGGCUAACUACGUG